GAAGGUUGCUUUCUCAGGAAGGAGUGUUCUGUAGCCAGAGAGCCUAUCACAAGUUAGUUAGCAGCUGCAUUGAGCUCUUUGGGGAAGUGGAGAAUGGACCUGGACUGUUGGAAGAACGGAACAGUGGGCUACACUCUUAACAAAUGUGAUUCAUGCAUAUGCUGUCCUCUUUUUGAAUAGAUCCCAUGAGGUACAAGUUUCCUACAAGUCUUUCACAGAAAGUAAGAUCAUUCUCUAUAAAGCAAUCUUAUGUUUUUGUGCAAAUCUUCCAUGCAUGCUGACUGCUGCUGUAGACAUGCUGGUCGUUACUUACUGCAGUGGCACUGCAGACUCUAAGUGUUUAUUCCUAUUUUUAGUGCUGUCAAGUUCACAGAAAUUGUGAAAAUAAAAACCAGUUGUGCUCAUAAGGGU
rnacentral:lncRNA from 1 species